rnacentral:rRNA from 1 species
GACGAACGCUGGCGGCGUGCCUAAUACAUGCAAGUCGAACGCAGGGGGGACGGGUGAGUAACACGGGGGUAACCUCCCAUAAGGGGGGAUAACACUUGGAAACAGGUGCUAAAACCGAAAUGGAUGGAGGGACCCGCGGUGCAUUAGCUAGUGGGUGGGGUAACGGCUAACCAAGGCCACGAUGCAUAGGCGACCUGAGAGGGUGAUCGGCCACACUGGGACUGAGACACGGCCCAGACUCCUACGGGAGGCAGCAGUAGGGAAUCUUCGGCAAUGGACGAAAGUCUGACCGAGCAACGCCGCGUGAGUGAAGAAGGUUUUCGGAUCGUAAAACUCUGUUGUUAGAGAAGCGGUAUCUAACCAGAAAGCCACGGCUAACUACGUGCCAGCAGCCGCGGUAAUUC